rnacentral:rRNA from 1 species
UGUGUAGGCGGUUGUUUAAGUUUGGUGUGAAAUCUCCCGGCUCAACUGGGAGGGUGCGCCGAAUACUGAAUGACUCGAGUGCGGGAGAGGAAAGUGGAAUUCCUGGUGUAGCGGUGAAAUGCGUAGAUACCAGGAGGAACACCGGUGGUGUAGACGGCUUUCUGGACCGUAACUGACGCUGAGACACGAAAGCGUGGGUAGCAAACAGGAUUAGAUACCCUGGUAGUCCACGCCCUAAACGAUGCACAUUUGGUGUGGGUCAUUCAGUUGAUCCGUGCCGGAGCUAACGCGUUAAAUGUGCCGCCUGGGGAGUACAGUCGCAAGGCUGAA